GACGAACGCUGGCGGCGUGCUUAACACAUGCAAGUCGAACGGAAAGGCCCUGCUUUUGUGGGGUGCUCGAGUGGCGAACGGGUGAGUAACACGUGAGUAACCUGCCCUUGACUUUGGGAUAACUUCAGGAAACUGGGGCUAAUACCGGAUAGGAGCUCCUGCUGCAUGGUGGGGGUUGGAAAGUUUCGGCGGUUGGGGAUGGACUCGCGGCUUAUCAGCUUGUUGGUGGGGGAGUGGCUUACCAAGGCUUUGACGGGUAGCCGGCCUGAGAGGGUGACCGGCCACAUUGCGACUGAGAUACGGCCCAGACUCCUACGGGAGGCAGCAGUGGGGAAUAUUGCACAAUGGGCGGAAGCCUGAUGCAGCAACGCCGCGUGCGGGAUGACGGCCUUCGGGUUGUAAACCGCUUUCGCCUGUGACGAAGCGUGAGUGACGGUAAUGGGUAAAGAAGCACCGGCUAACUACGUG
rnacentral:rRNA from 1 species